AAUCUCUGGCUUCUCGUCAACAUAGGAGCAAAUCUUUCGCCUUUUACUAAAGAUUUCCGUGGCGAGGAGCACUCAAUGAGUCUAUAGACUAAUUUUUGGAGUCCUGUCGCAAGACGGGAC
rnacentral:snRNA from 1 species